rnacentral:rRNA from 1 species
UACGUAGGUGGCAAGCGUUGUCCGGAUUUACCGGGCGUAAAGAGCGCGCAGGCGGUCGUUCAAGUCGCGUGUGAAAGCCCCCGGCUCAACUGGGGAGGGUCACGCGAUACUGAUCGACUCGAAGGCAGGAGAGGGAAGUGGAAUUCCGGGUGUAGCGGUGGAAUGCGUAGAGAUCCGGAAGAACACCGGUGGCGAAGGCGGCCUGCUGGGCAGUAGCUGACGCUGAUGCGCGACAGCGUGGGGAGCAAACAGG